AUUGAACGCUGGCGGCAGGCCUAACACAUGCAAGUCGAACGAGUGGCGGACGGGUGAGUACUGUCUGGGAACCUGCCUGAUGGAGGGGUAUAACUACUGGAAACGGUAGCUAAUACCGCAUACCAUCAGAUGUGCCCAGAUGGGAUUAGCUAGUUGGUGGGGUAACGGCUCACCAAGGCGACGAUCCCUAGCUGGUCUGAGAGGAGGACCAGCCACACUGGGACUGAGACACGGGCCAGAGUCCUACGGGAGGCAGCAGUGGGGAAUAUUGGACAAUGGGCGAAAGCCUGAUGCAGCCAUGCCGCGUGUAUGAAGAAGGCCUUCGGGUUGUAAAGUACUUUCAGCGGGGAGGCGGUACCCGCAGAAGAAGCACCGGCUAACUCCGUGCCAGCAGCCGCGGUAAUUC
rnacentral:rRNA from 1 species